AAGUAUAAAUGUUAUACAGUGAAACUGCGAAUGGCUCAUUAAAACAGUUAUAGUUUAUCGAUAAUCGAAUUUACAUGGAUAACCGUGGUAAUUCUAGAGCUAAUACAUGCUGGUUAGCCUGACUUUUAGGAAGGGCUGUAUUUAUUAGAUAACAAACCAAUAUUCCUUGUGUCUAUUGUGAUGACUCAUAAUAACUGAUCGGAUCGCAUGGGCUUUGCCCGCGACAAAUCAUUCAAGUUUCUGCCCCAUCAGCUUUCGAUGGUAGUGUAUUGGACUACCAUGGCUUUAACGGGUAACGGAGGAUUAGGGUUCGAUUCCGGAGAGGGAGCCUGAGAAACGGCUACCACAUCUAAGGAAGGCAGCAGGCGCGUAAAUUACCCAAUCGCGACUCGCGGAGGUAGUGACAAGAAAUAACGGACCGAAGCCUAUGUCUCGGGAUUGCAAUGAGUAGAAUUUAAACCCCUUUACGAGGAUCAAUUGGAGGGCAAGUCUGGUGCCAG
rnacentral:rRNA from 1 species